ACAAACUUGGUCAUUUAGAGGAAGUAAAAGUCGUAACAAGGUUUCCGUAGGUGAACCUGCGGAAGGAUCAUUACCGAGUGCGGGACCCCUCGCGGGCCCAACCUCCCACCCUUGUCUAUCGUACCUUGUUGCUUCGGCGGGCCCGCCAUCAUGGCCGCCGGGGGCCUCGCGCCCCGGGCCCGCGCCCGCCGGAGACACCAACACGAACACUGUCUGAAUACUUGCAGUCUGAGUCGAUUGUAACAAAUCAGUCAAAACUUUCAACAAUGGAUCUCUUGGUUCCGGCAUCGAUGAAGAACGCAGC
rnacentral:misc_RNA from 1 species